rnacentral:lncRNA from 1 species
UCUCUGGUCCCAUGAAAUACUAGAGGAGCACCUUCGUGUUUACAAAUAGCUGCGUACACGCAGAGAGUGCCUAUAAUAUGCAUCAAACUAUAAGGUGAAAACCCAAAUAUUCCGGAAGGCCGGUGUAUGGACCAAGCUAAGCCCUCUCUUUUGUCAACUUCUUCAAACAAUAUAUCUUCCUGAUUAUAGUAAAAAAGCGGCACGUUUAGUCUUGGCAAAUCCUCAGUAAAAGGCGGAUCGUGAGACGGUAUCUUGCCAAUACACUCGAAUGGACCCACGUAAUGUUUGCCUCCCGUUUGGAGACAGAUGUGGCGGACAUUAGGCGCAUUCGGGAUUACAGAACGGAGCACGUUACGAAACAUGGCGCCGUUGAUCUUGCAAUUCUCGGCUUCAGUGGGACGGCUGGCCCACGUCACAUAGAAGAUGUGGGUGACGUCAGUGAGUUUUGAGAGCUUGGCUUGCGUAUCAUCCCGGUCGGAAAUGUCGCAUUGGAUGUAAUCAAUAGGGUACCUGGCGUUCCAAUUAGGCCUGGGGCGUCGGGCCACCCCGUGGACCUUCCACGGGCCACCGGGGGUAUCUGGUCGGGGCAAAAUCUCAGCUAGGCUGUUGCCUACAAUUCCUGUCACGCCUACUACAAGUCCCACGUUCUGGUAGUCUUGAGGUCGCGCAUCUUCUUCCAAUUUGUUCUGUACAGCGAAAAUUAAACAAACAUUAUUUUAAAUAUCAGCAUGUUACGUGUAUGUAUAAGCUUUUCAAGUGAAGAGAGACAAUUAGGGGGUCGAUCUUUACCUUAGCAGCGCCAAUACUACCUGCCCACCGCCAGCUCAUUUUUUGAUGAAUCUGGAAAAUUGAUGAUAAGUUUAGAGACUGCUUAUCUAUAAACAAUUAUACGAGCACUUUCUAGAAGGUAAUUUUCAGUUGAAGUUAGAUAAUGUGAAUAUGUGAUCAAUAAUGAAAGAUCCAAUAUCAUAAUGUGUGGUGAAAUGUGGUUCCGGCUAAAGGCCAAGCUUCACACUGUCAUUGUCAGUCAGUUUGCUUUCCCGCAGUUUUCAAGCUCGGUGCCAACUCAAAUAAAUAAGUAGGCCAGUGUCGGUGACCAUUGCAAUAAAAUCGCCCUAUGAUUAUUACGGAAGCUUCAGUACGUGGACCCUGAGUUUUAAACCUAAAAUCAAAUAUAUGUCUCUUUACUUUUAUAAUUUGCUUAAGGCACACCAGUCAGUUUUGGGACAAAAAGAGUCUUCGAUUUGUAUUUUCAUGGAAAUAAUCAAAACAUUUGAUAUUGAGGUACUGUAACUUUGAAAUUAUAAGUACAAUUAAAAAAAUAAUUGUAACUAUGAAUUAAAAAUUAAUAAUUUCUAGUAAAUAUGACUAUUAAAUAAUAAUUUUGAUAAAAAUAAUAUAUAUAUUAUAGUUUAUUCGUCAUACAGGUAUGAGAUUAAAUUAAUUUAAUUUAUAAAUCAAAGCUAGUAUAUACUAAAUAGUUGUAACUUUUAAGCUGUAGCUACUUAACUUUAAUAUCAAAAUAGGCCUUAGAGCCCGUUUGGAAUUAUUUUUAGGAGUUCCCAAAAGUAAUUUUGAAAAAGUAAAUGUCAAUUUUGGUGUUCGGAAAAUUUUUAAAAAAAUUACUUUUAGCAAGAUCACCCCAUCCUAUAGCAAGUUUUUCAAAAUAGGGAUGCAGUAUCUUUUUAGUAUCGGAUUUUGAAAAUCAGUUUUAUAUUUAAUACAAUUUCAUAAAUCUUCAAAUAUAUUAUAAAAAUCUAAAAUUAUCCUUAUUAAUUACGAAAUAAAAUAAUUAAUUUUAAAGAGAUUGUUAUCACCAAUUAUAUUAAGAUAACCAAAUAAAAUCAAUAAUUUAAAAUAUUUAUUUUAGUUAUCAAUUAUUAUAUAUAUACAAUAAAAAAUAUUUUUCAUACAUGUUUAUAAAAUGCGUAAAUAAAUUAAAUAAAUUUUAUUCAACAUUGUGUCCAAUUAAUUUAUUUAUAUUCUUACAACAGUUUAAUAGUAAUAUGAUUAUAGAAGCCAAAACAUCAAUUUUUUUGGUUAUCAAAUGGUGUAAAAAGUCAAAUGAACACAAAAUGCAUUUGUAGUCUAUUGAAAUAUCAAAAUUGUAAAUACACAUAGGAACCUCGUACAAGCGAUUGUGAAACUCGAUAUAUGAAUAAAUGAAGAAUUCUUUUUUUUCUCUUAAAUUUUAGGAAAUAGUUAAAGAUGUUCAUAUGAAUGAAUGGAAGUUUUUUUUUUCUCAUCUCAUUAAUUCAUGUGAAUAUCCAUGAAGUUUAUUUGAAUGAACAAUUUUUUUUUCUCAAUAAAUAUGCCAUAAUGAAAAAAGUUUUGGCUCUUGUGUAAAAUUUGAAAAUCAUAAAAAAAAUAUAUCAAUAAAAUAAUUCUACAUAAUCUAUGCUCACCAAUUAUUAGGGAGGGUAAAUGCUCAUUUAAUCCAUAUAUUUUGACAUAACUAACUUUUCAACCAUAUUAUUGUUGGAAAAAAAAAACAGUCCUUUGAUUUGUAAUUUUUAGCUAGUUAUACAAAUUUUGCAAGUUUCUAAAUCUCACCUCCACUAGGCAAACUUACGUAAAUAAUCAAAAGAGAGACGUCAUAUUUAAUUUAGAAGUUGCUCUCGUUUAGGCCCUAUUUGAUAUUGAAAUGUUGUAGCAUAGUAAGAAAAAAGAAAAACAAAGUUGCAACUAUUAAAAAAAAUUUGAUAAUGUAUAAUAAAAUAAUUAUUAAAUAAUAAUUUGACAAAAAUAAUAAAGACACUAUAGGUUUUUUCAUACAAGUGUGGGAUCAAAUCAACUUAAUUUCUAAGCUACAAUAGCUAGUGUUUACUAAAUACUUUGAUACUGUAACUUUUAAGAUACAGCUGCCCAACCUUAGGUUUAAAUCGUUUAUAAGGUAAUAAUAGACAUGACUCUAGAAGCUAAAACAUCAAUUUCUUUUCUUUUUUUAAUUAUCAGAUAGUGUAAAACAUCAAACGGAAACAACUAAAUAUGUGAUCCUAUUGUUGUGAAUAUAUCAAAAUUAUCCUCAAAUUAUGAAUCUCUGCCAUUUACAAAAAAGAAUUUAGUACAAGUGAAUGUGAAAGUUGAUAUGCAAAUAAAUGAAUAAUUCUUUUUUUGAAACGACCCGUCCCGCACCCCAGGGCGAGUCUAUCUAAACUCGUAUAAUCGAAUCGAUAAUAAUUAUGAUAUCUAAGAAUUCUAUCAAAAAUUCGACAGAAUCUCCCCUAUAAAUAAAACAUCCCCAAACCUGCAAUUUACAAAAUAAUUCAAUAUCCAUCCAUCCUUCAUAACCAACUUCUCAAGUCAACAUAUCAAAUAUCACCCAAAUCAUUCUAAUAUUAAAAUACAAUGGUUAUCCUUAAUUACAAAAUUAAUAAAUAAAUACAAUUCGCAAUAUCCCAAAUAUCAAAAUAUUAAAUCUACGACUCCUAGCACCAUCACAUGGCCACAAUUUCAAAUCUAACUAUCGUUGCUGGGUCGACUGAUAUACCUGCAAAUCUCCUGUGAGGGGGAAAAAUAUAAUAAAAAUUGGGUAAAUAUAAAACUCAGUGAGCUCAGUGAGUGUAUAGUAGUUUUUGAAAAAAUAAAUUUAUUUAAAAUAAUUUAAACUUUCUCAAAUCAAUUUCAUCAAAAUAUCAUAAGAACUUAUAUAAACAUAUUCAAUUCAAAUCAUUCAUUGAAAUAACUAUAUUACAUAAAUCUGCAUAAAAUCAAUGAAAUCAUAAUAAUUAUAAUAUCAAAUGCUGAAUAUAAAAAACUAUCAUCAAACAAGUACCCAGGGAAAUGAUCUCAUCAUAUCCGGACCUCGACGGACGGGCAAUCAGGGAACCAUCAUGCCCUGGAGCUACAACGGAUAGACGGGGAAAUCUCAUCUCAUAUCUCAUGUAUUUGAACAUCUGUAUCUCUAUAAUCAUCAUACUGCAUGCAUAAGCCCCCAAAAGGCAAAAGCGCCCAAACACACGGCCCAAAGCCUCUAUGUGUGUUCAGACGGGCCCCAAAGGCCUCUAUCUCAUCUCAUAUGUAUCUCUGUAUUCAUCUCGUAUUAUCUGUAUCUCUGUAUCUGGAGAGGAAGGGUACUGUCCAAUGAUUUUUCAAACAACAUUUUAUACACAUGUACAUAAACAUAUAAUCACAUCUGAAAUCUCAUUUUCUUUUUAUUCAACAUAUCUCAAAUCCACUCAAUUCUAAUAUCAUGCAUCUACUAAAAAACAAUAAUAAAAUCAUUAAUCAAACUCAUUCUUAAUAACAAUAAAUAUCAACACACAGAUAAAAAUCAAUUUUCUAGAAAAUCAUUAAAUCGAAGCAUCAAAUACUUAUUUAUCAAAACAUACUGCACUGUAUCAUAAAAUUAGCAUAUACUAUGAAAAUAGAUUUUGUAUAUUCCACUCACAGUGACGAAGUCUAGACUCGGUAUCAACAGUGUCUGCGGGUUAAUUCUCAUUCACGGAUCCUCCUAAUUAAGGAAAUGACAUAAUUAUUCUCCAUAAAUUUGAAAUACAACUAAUUUUACAUAAUAAUUCUCGAAGCGAAUAUCUAUCAACAAUAAACUAUUCCCACAUGCACAAAAUUACCGAAAUACCCCUACAUGCCAAAAUUACCAAAAUGCCCCCAACAUCAUUAUUUUACCAAAUUAUCCUCAGAAUCUUCAAUUAAUAAAUUGUCCUCAAUUCAGAUCACGAAAUUAUCACAAUGUCAGAAAUUACGAAAUUACCCUCGGCACGUAAAAUUACCAAAAUGUCCUUAGCGACUUAAAUUACCAAAUUACCCUCGAAAUAUCAAAUUACCUCACUGCCCUAACAUAAAAUUACCAAAUUAUCCACUGAUUCCAUAAAUUACAAAUUCACCCUAAAUUUUUAUGAAUUUACCAAAUUGCCCGUACCGGUCAACGGUGACCGGACUUCAGUCAACGACAACGGGAAGCUUAGGUCUGAUAGUUCAGACCUCGGUGAGUCCAAUGGUGGUGCCCGUGAGUCCCCACGCGCGGCGAUAGCGGUAGAUCGAAGCUCCAAAAUCUGUGAGCUUUCCGGUGGUCGUUUGCAGCAAAGACGGCGUCCCUGGUGGUCGUGGUCAGUCGGAAAGUGACGAGUGUGAGUUAAGGAACAAGAUCCGAGUGGUGGCGGGAUUAAAGGCGGCGAAAACAGGUCUUGGCCGCGAAUUUUCGAGCUCAAUCGCCGGCUUUCUGGUAGGUUCCCGGCGGCGAGGAUGGCAGGGUUAUGACGGCCGGCUUCCAAGCUUCAUAUCGGUACCAAGCUCGGCCGGUGCGGUGGCCGGAAUCGCGAGAUCCAUUCGGGUCAAAGUCGCGGGUCGGGUCGGAUUCGCGGGUCAAACCGGAUCAAUUCUCUUUCUCUCUCUCUCUCUCACGUGCCCCUAGGGUUGGCAGAAAAGCCCGGGCCGGCCCAGGCCCGCGGGCUUUAAGCCCGGCCCGUGGCUUGAAAUUAUGGGUAAGGGCUCAAAGUUAAUAAAGCCCAUAACAUAUGGGCUCAGUCAAGGGCCUAAAUGAAAAGCCUGGGCUUUAUAAUAAAUAAUAAAUAAUAUAUAUAUAUAUUAAAAAAUGUAUAAUAUAUUAUAAAAUUGGAAAAAAAAUUAAUUGCUUUACAAAAUAAAUAUAUGUAUUAUAAAAUAUAUAUAUGUAUAAUAUAUAUAUAUAUAUAUAUAUAUUAAAAAAUGUAUAAUAUAUUAUAAAAUUGAAAAAAUAAUUAAACAAAAUAAUAAAAAAAUCGGGCAAAGGGAAAGGGCAAAGGUUUUGUCACAAAAUGUCAAAAUUCCUAAAUCGGUAAAUCUCUAUUAGUUUUUUUUUUAUAUUAGUGGUUGAUUUGUACGUUGUGUACGGUAUUUGUAUUGUUAGUAUUUUUAUAUUUUGUGUUGCUAAUCAUGUAUUAGAGAAUUAUAUUUAAGUUUUUAGCCUAUUGUAGUAUUAUGUAUUGGUUAAUUAUGUUUUGAAAAUUUAUAAUUUUAUUUUUUUAAAAAAAAUUUAAAAUUUCGUAAAAGCCCGGGCUUGGCCCGCGGCCCGGCCCGGCCCAGGCCCGUCAAGGCCCGGCCCGCCCAAAGCCCGCUCAACUUGGAUGGGCUUUGAGAGGGCCUGGACUUAUUUAACAUUAUAUGGGCCUGGUCCUGGGCUUGGCAAAGCCCGGCCCAGGCCCUUAAAUUGCCAACCCUACGUGCCCCCUCUCUCUUUCCUUUUUUGGAAACCAGCUUCCCACUUUCCAUUUAUAGAAACUGGCUUCUUUUUUUUUUUUUUGCACUUAAGCUUAAUACAAAUUAAGCUAAUACCGGACCGUGAGGAAAAUAAAAUCCGACUACCUGAGCUUUUAAUCGGGCUCAAUUUAUCUCGAUUUAAUGUUGUGAUAAUUUUAAAAUUAAUAUCGAAGAGGAAAAAUUAAUUCAUGCACUUAAUUAGGAAAAAUCAAAGUGCAUAUGUUACAUUUUUAUUUUAAUUUCAAGAAAUAGCUAACUUGUUCAUAUGAAUGAAUUGAAGUUUUUUUUUUGGGCUUUCUCAUCUCAUUAAUUCGUGUGAACAUUCAUGAGGGUUAAUUGAAUGAACAAAAUUUUAUUUUCUCAAUAAAUCUGCUAUCAUAAAAAACGUUUUGGCUCCUGUCUAAAAUUUGAAAAUCGUAGCAAAAAGUAUAACAAUAAAAUAAUUCUACAUAAUUUAUACUCACCAAUUAAUCAGGAAAAUAUAUUAGAUAUAACUUUGAUGGAAUCAACAAAGUGAGAUAGAAAGAAGAAAAAGUGUCUAAAGCUUCAAUUUUGUUAGUUUUUUAUGAAUGUCUCACCAUGUUAGGAAAUCAAUAGUGUGUGUGUGUGUAAAAUGAUGAGAUUGAGAAAAAAAAAAUUAAGGUUUAUGGUAUGGAUGUGAUAAAUGGGUUUGUUUAAUUAAUAUUAACAUCUUUGUUCAAUUGUUUAAGGUUUUCCUUUAUAGUUACUUCAAUUUUGGGUAAUUUAGGAAUAAUAAGUUGUUAUUACAAAAUUUAUAUUCAAAGUUGUUUCAAGGGUGAAAAAUCUAUACCCUUAUAAUUUUGUGUGUUAUGGCUCAUCAAGUGUGUUGUAUUACAAGUGAGUGAUUCAAAUUCAAAUAGAUAUUUUCAUUGGAUGUGUUUUUCCACACUAGGGUGGGACUAUAUUGCACAAAUGGAUGGAGAGUGCAGACCCAUAUUCGGCUUACAUAAAUUUUUGUUGGGCUGGAUUAUAUCCAAACAUGAUGCGAACGACACAACAUAAAUCAAACGCGGCUCCCCCUUGAGGUUAGUCAGCUUUGCAUUACAUUUAUUUUAUAUAAUGAUAACAAUUUAAAUGCAUUUAUCAAUUUUAUUAAUAUUGAAAUACACUUUAUUUUAAUUUUCUUUUCUUACCCUUUUCUUUCUCUCUCCUCUCUCUAAGUAAUGCUCUCCGCUUGAAAAAUUUUGGAUUAUUCAAUUUCAAUCGGUUAUAUUUUUACAAUCAACUUUUUCUUUUUCUUUUUCUUUUUCUUUUUCUAGUCCUGUGAAUCGGUUGGUUAGAAAGGAAGUGGUUUAGAAGAGGAACCACUUAGAAAAGCUUUGGUCUUGAAUUAGGCUUUAAUUGAAAAUUGGGUUUAGUUAUAACUUGAAGGCAUGUAAUUAGAAACGUAUUAUGAAUGUUUUUCUCCAGGUCGACAAUUUAGCUAAGUAUAUUUAUUGAACCCAUCAACAAAUAACAAUAACACAGCAAUUUUUUUUUCCCUACCUGAAAUGAAGCUUUUCAUUGAUUAACAAACAAAAGUUACAUUUCUUCAGCAGAACAAUCACAGCUUGAACUAAUAAUUGAAAAUGUUGCUAAAUCGUGACUUUUCAAUAGCUAAGGCACCAAAUCCCAAAAAAAAAUAAUAAUAAGGAAAUUACUUAAGUCACAGGGCUGUGACUUUUUUUUUUUUAAUUUAACUCAUUAACAAUAACAAAGAAAAACAUCUCAUUUCCACGUAAAAUGAAACUUUUCGUUGAUUGGAAAGCAAAGAACAAAGAAAAGCUGUAUUUCUUGCAGCCAAACAAUCACAGCUUGAACUAUCAAUAAAAUGUUUAAGUAAGGCACCAAAUUCAAAAAAGAAAAUUACUUAAGGCACAAUCCUGUGACUUUUUAGCCUACCAAUCCAAGCAACGAAGGAAUUCUUAGAAUUCCUGAAACCCAGGAACCCGUGCUCCUUACUCUUGUUCAUGCUAACUGAAUAACCCGCACCAACAUUCAUCACCAUAUCUGCAUACGACCAAACAGCGACCUCAUUCAAUUUUGUUGGCUGCAACUGAUUCUCUCUCACAAUCUCCUCCCACACACUUUCUUUACCUUUCAUAAUUUCCUCCAAUCUCACCCUCUCACUACCCUUUUCAUCUCCAAACCCAUAAUUCUCAAUCUCAAACUGCUCAGCCAACACUUUCCAUAAAUGCUUCCACUUAAAAACAUCUCCAUUGGUGCAAUUGAAAGCUUCGUUUCUUGCAUUAGGAUCCACUGCCGCCCAAAUUUCCUGCUCCGCAAUCAAAUCUGCAUCCGAAUAUUCUGAGAAGCCUUCCCAAGUUUCUUUCGUCCCAGGAAAUAGUAAAGGAAAACCUUCAUGUUUGCAAAUAGCAGCGUACACGCAGAGAGUGCCUACAAUAUUCAUCAAACUAUAAGGUGAAAACCCAAAUAUUCCGAAAGGUCGAUGUAUGGACCAAGUCAAGCCUUCUCUUUUUUCAACUUCUUCAAACAAUAUGUCUUCUUGAGUAUAGUAAAAAAGUGGUACGUUUAACCUCGGCAAAUCCUCUGUAUAAGGAGGUUCGUGAGACGGUAUCUUGCCAAUACACUCGAAUGGACCCACGUAAUGUUUGCCUCCCGUUUGGAGACAGAUGUGGCGGAGAUUCGGUGCGUUCGGGAUUACAGAACGGAGCACGUUACGAAACAUUGCACCGUUGAUCUGGCAAUUCUCGGCUUCAGUGGGACGGCUGGCCCACGUCACGUAGAAGAUGUGGGUGACGUCAGUGAGUUUUGAGAGCUUGGCUUGUGUCUCUUCCUGGUCAGAAAUGUCGCAUUGGAUGUACUCAAUUGGGCGAUUGGCAUUCCAGUCGGGCCUCGGACGUCGGGCAACUCCGUAGACCUUCCAUGGGCCACCAGGAGUAUCCGAUCGGGGCAUUAUCUCUGCUAGGCUGUUGCCUACAAUUCCUGUCACGCCUAAUAUAAGUCCCACAUUCUGGUAAUCUUGAGGUCGCUGCUUAUCUUCUUCCAAUUUCUUCUGUACAAGUAAAAAUAAAACAAACAUUAUUUUAAAUGUCAGCAUGUUACAUGUCCACUAACUUAACUACAGAGUUGAUGUUUACCUUCGCAGCGCCAAUAUCACCCGCCCACCACCAGCUCAUCUUUUGGUGAAUUUGAAAAUUGAUGAUAGGUUUGGUUUCUGCUUCUAGUUUUAUUUAUAGAGAGGAGUUGACAACUGUGUAAAUAGACUUUCACAAUGUUUUGAAAUAGUUUACAUUAUCAUAAACAUCUAACUCUGUUCACACAUAAAGAGGAGACUGCCAAUUAUACAAGUACUUUCUAGAAGGAAAUUACGUAUUCAACUGAAGUUAGAUUAUGUGAACCAUAUUGAAAGAUCUAAUGCAAUAAUGUCUGGUGAAAUCUAAUGCACUAAUGUGUGGUGAAAUGAGGUUCCUGCUGAAGGCCAACUUCGUACUAUCAUUGUCAGUCAAUUUGCGUGCCCACGGUUCUUCAAGCUCGGUGCCAACUCAAAUAAAUUAGUAGGCCAGUGUCGGUGAUCAUUGCACUAAAAUCGCUCUACGUUUAUUACGGAAGUUUCCGUAGGGGGCCCAGGUUUAAACCUAAAAUCAAAUACGUCUCUCAAUUUUUAAAUUGCUUAUGGCACAGUAGUCUAUAACUUUUCAGCUUUCAAUAUCAAUUUUGGAAAAAAAGGGGGAUUUAAAUUUACUGUCGAGCUGCUAUUUUUACUAAUAUUUUAGAAGCAUAUGGUUGAUAGUUAUUGGAUACAAAUAUAAAACUAAUUGAAUCUUAACUAUAUAUUGUUAUACAUGUACAUGUGGUAGAAGAUUAUGAAUAGUUAAGCAUAGAUCAACUCAGUAUUAAAUCCAAAUUCCAUAAACAGUCCUUUAAUUACUUGUAGUUUCUAAUCUCAUCCUCUCCUGGCAAACGUUAUUAAAAAAAAAGCAAAAGAGAGACAUCCCAUUUAAUUUAGAAGUUGUUUCUCAUUUAAGACUUGUUUGAUAAUGAGAUAUAGUAACUUUUAAUUUACAGUUACGACAAAAAGAAAAAAAGCUAUAAUUAUGAAAUAAUUUUUUUAAAAAAUAAAGAGACUAUUAAUCGACUAGUACUUAGUAUUUUACUGUUGUAGGUUUUAAGUCACUGAUGCCCAACCUCCGUAAGAAAUAGAAUCUUAAUUUAUUUCGCUUCUUUGAGGGUUUGAUAAAGAGAUAUUUGACCUGUUUAUAAGAAAAUAAUUGACAAGACUCUAAAAGCCAAAACAUCAAAUUUUUUCGUUAUCAGAUGGUGUAAAACAUAAAAUGAACACAAUACGCAUAUGUGGUCGGUGGAAAUAUCAAAAUUAUACUCAAAUUGAAAAUCUCAGCCAUUUGCACGCGAACUUUUGGUACAAUUGAUUGUGAAACUUGAUAUACGAAUAAAUGAACUUUUAUUUUUAAUUUCAGGAAAUGGCUAAAGUUGUUCACAUGAAUGAAUGGAAGAUUUUUUUUUUCCUUUCUCAUCUUAUUAAUCCAUCUGAACAAAAAAUUUUAUUUCCUCUAUAAAUCUGCCAUCAUGAAAAAAAAUUUGGCUGUUGUGUAAAAUUUGAAAAUCAUAGAAAAAGUAUAUCAAUAAAACAGUUUACGUAAUUUAUACUCACCAAUUAAUUAGGAAAAUGUAGUAGGUAUAACUUUCACGGAAUCAACAAGCUGAGAUAGAAAGAAGAAAAAGUGUCUAAAUUUAUUAGGCUUUGAUGAAUGUCUCACUAUGUCCGGAAAUUAACUGAGACAACAAUAAUAAAACGAUGAGAUUGAGAGACGUGAAAUUAAGGUUCAUGGUAUGUGAUAAAUGGGUAUGUUGAAUUAAUAUUAACAUUUUCGAUUAAUUGUAUAAAGUUGACUUCAGUUAUGGGCAAUAUUUUUUUUGUUUUAUUGAUAAGGGAAACGAGCCUAGCAAAAGUAGCUAAGGCUUAACAGUAAGAGGGAACGCAGUCCCUAAGGUAUCGCUACGCAGCCAGAAUUCAACACCAGGAGGGGGAAAAAGAAGACUGUGGAGCCCAAGAGGUAACGAGAGAGCAAAAGUAGCAAGAAAAUCAGGUGCGAAGUUUGCCUCACUGUAGAUAUGGUGCACAAAAACCUGCCAAUUUUGAGCGAGAAGAGCCUUGAUACUCUUGACAAGGGGAGACGAAGCAUUAAGCGUAUCAUUUUGAGCCUCCAAAAGCUAAAUCACGCAUAAGCUAUCAGCCUCAACAAUCAUCGAUCUGAUACCCCCGUUCCAUGCCAUGAGGAGACCCUGAUAAAGGCCCCACAGCUCAGCAAUUGUGAUUGAACACAGCCCAAUGUUCAUUCAAAAUCCUUCAACACAUUCUCCACAAUUGUUUCUGAUUAAGCCACCAGCAGAAGCCAAAUCCGAGGCCUUACGAGCUCCAUCCGUGUUCAACUUGAAGAAAGGCUACACAGGAGGCACGAAGCCAUAGUACAUCUCUACUCUCGUGGGCUUGUCCGUUAUGGCAAUUUAAUACAUAUUGUUAUUAAAAAGUAGUGCUAAGAGAUUAGUGUUAAAAAUUGUAUGUUUAUUAAGGGGUAAAAAUGUUAUUUUGUGCUAAUAAUAUAAUUUACGUUUGUAAAUAUGUAACAUAUUAUGAAUUUCUAAUUAUUUUUCUAAAUAUUUGAUUUUGUGUGUUUAUUAGGUAAAAAUAAUAAUUUCACACAAUUUGAGACUCCAAAUAAAUGUACGGAUGUCAAAUUUGGAUUCCGAAAGCCUGAGAAAUGAGGUCCUUGUCGAUCAGGAUCUGCGACUUUUGUUGUAAAUUUAUAAGUUGUUACCAAGGUAAAUGUGGUAAUUGUGAAAUUAUAAACUUUUACUAUAUUAGGUGUGGUAAUUGUUAGUGGCAUGUGUUAGAUGUGCUUGAGUGGAUUAAGUUAGGUUUAUGUUUUAUUAGUAUGACAAAUACAUGGUUAAGAUAUACUUAGCUUUAUUUAUUUGUGUGGUGUGGAUUAAUCAUGUAUUAGUAUAAAUAGAUAGGGGGGAACACACCUCUUCACACAUUUCCUUCUCUGCUUUCCCCUCAAAUUCUUCUUCUCAUCUCUCUUUGUAAUAAAUUUUCAAUAAAUAAAAUUAGUUUUAUUUUCAAUUUUCAAAUACUUUUUUUCAUUAUGUUGUUUUUUUUUAAUUUUAAUAAUUCCUUUUAUUUCAAAUAUGUUUAGCUAAAUACUAAUAGUUAGGGGAAGAUGAAACUCUUAGUAAAAAAAUAGGAUUUAAACAAAUUCUAUUUUUAAUUAUAGAAAUUAAUUAUUUUCCAUCUAAUUUUAUCCAUAUUUUAUAUUUUGAAAUUUUGAUUUAUUGUAGACAAACAUGGGGUUUAGCAUAAUGAAUUUUUAAUAUCUUAGUAUAAAGUAUGGUAAACUAGUAUUUUAACUUAUUGUAAACAAAUUAAAUUUUGGUACACUAAGUACUUAGUUCGUAAUAAAAUUAUUGGGAAAAUAAUUGUAAUUUAUACAAUUAAUCAUUUGGACAAUAACCUAAAAAUAAAAAGAAUUUAUUAAAUUGUAUUUGUUACUAAGAGGGGAUCUAGAACCUAACUAAUUUAAUUUUAUAGUUUUGAUCAAAUUAAACUGCACAUUUUAAAAUUUAUUUUCAUUAUUUUAAAAUAAAAAAAAAUUAAAUAUUUUCUCUGUAGAUCGACCUCAGAUUCAGUGACUCACCGAGCUAUAGUUUAACUAGGCACUCUUACACUUGGGAGUAAAUUAAACACUUUUAAGUCGUGCACUUAGAUUAGCUUUUGCUGCUAUUUAAACCCACUAAUUUCUUCUCUAUAACUAUUUUAAAAAAUAACUUUAUCAUUAAAGUUUUAAAAUUUGAAAAUCUCGAAAUUACCCCACCAAUUACUUUCUUUCUCUACUUUACAAUUACAUACUCUCCCAUUAUUCUCAUAUAUAGUCUACAAACAAAACACUCAAUUUCACUUUCUUUUGAAUUUUUUUUAACAUUUCUUAGUAUAUUAUGAUCUAUAUUUCAUGCUUUCUGUAUAUAAGAAAUUUUUUCCUUAAUAUUCAUUAGCUUUUGUGUUUAGUAAAAAUUAAUUUCUUGAUAUUCAUUCAUUUUCAUGACUGAUAAAAAUUUGUUGAUAUUCAUUUUUAAAUGAUGGAUUUUGUUCUUCUUAGUUAGUAAUACUUAUUCUUUAUAGGUAAAAGAAUAUAUUUGAAUGGAUUGAAGAGAAUUUGUAAAAUUAAGAAGAGAAAGAGAAGAGAGGAUUAAUUAAGAAAUUUUUUAAAAAUUAUUUAGAUAAUAAAGUUCUUAAUUAAAAUGAGGGUUUAGAGAGGAAAUCGAUAAGUUCAUAUAGCUCUUCCUUAGUUUUUAGAGUGCAAAUUUUAAUACCCUUAUAGUUUUGUGUGUUAUGGCUCCUUAAGUAUGUAGUAUUACAAGCAAGUGAUCCAAAUUCAAUUUGAUAUUUGUCUUUCUACAUUCUGGUGGGGUUGUAUUGCAUAAUCGAUGCAAAGGGCUCACUCAUGUUUGGCUUACAUAUAACUCCUAAUGAGCUAGAUUCUAUCUAAAACUAAUGUUGGGGAAUUUUAAUUCCACUCAAGAUCUUGAAAAUAAAAAUAUCAAAUAAAUAAUUAAUAAAAUAUACAGAUGAAGAAUAAAAUCAAUCCACUACAAGAAAAAUGGCCUACUAUGACAGGCAAAAACGGUUAUCUUAGGGGGUGGAUGACGGUUAUCCUUACUGUCAUUGUAGCCAGCGUCAAGAAAAGAUAACAGACAGAAACCCGUCACAAGUUGUGAUAAAUUUUACCUGUCAUAAUUCAGUCAUACAACUUAUAUAAGGGAAAUUGGCUUUUUUUAAUUUUUAUGUUUUAUGAAAUUAAAACUGUAAUUAGUAUUUGUGGAUAAAAGUUGUGUGUCAAAUGUUGUGACUAGUAUUUUCAAUCACAAUUUUUUUUAAAAUUGACUAUUUAUUUUAUUUAUUAAUUUAAAAAAUAAAAAAUAUGCAAUUUUAGUUUCCUCAAUUUAAAAUUUAAAUUAUAAAUUUUAUAUCAAAGAAAAUAAAUUAAUAAAUGCAAUCAAAUCCAAAACUAAUGAACUAAAUUAGUGAACUUUAUUAUCCAUAAAAAUAUCCAAAGUACUUCUAAAUUUCAAAAACAUACAAUUGAAACUUUACAAUUCAAUAGUUAAUCAAUAUUUCAAACUCAAGCCAACAGCCAAAAAAGACCAAUCCAAAACCAAAGCAAAGUACUCAGCAUUCAGCAACAUCCAGCACUAAAGCUAUGCAAAAUGUAGUCCUUUUCUAGCAGCAAAAUCCAGCAGCCCCCAAGCCAAGAAAGAAGUAUCCCAUUUCAUCAAUUGAAAAUAUUAAGUGAAAUAUAAGCAUUUACACAUGAAAAUAUUAAGAAUAACAUCUACAAAAAGGAAAAAAAAUACAAGUAAUAAUAGAAUACGAAAAUACUCAGUGAAAACUAAGGCGAGACCCCUUUUUUCCCUUCUCUGGAGUAAGGCACUAAAAGGGAUUAAAGAAAUUAUGAUUGUGUUCCACACCUGGAGCUGGUAGAGACAAACUCUGGUCAUGUAAUAUUUGCCUUGGCACCGUUUGAAUAUGUCUAUAUUAGUAUCCACAAAUUCAAGGAAGAUGAUUGGCCUACCUCUUACAUAUAUCAUAUUCAAGUCCAAACAGCUUUAUUCCUCGUGGGAUUUAUUUGAUCAAAUUAAUAGUUCAGGAUGAAAAAUGGUUAGAACCUCACAGUCAUCAAAAGUUACUGUCUCAUAAUUCAUUUUAGUGCUUAUAACACAGAGGAAAUAAAAUAAAAUAUCUAAACAUACAUUUAUCAUGUAUGUAAACAUUUUUUUUCUUUUCUUUAAAUACAGAGAGGACAGUAGUUAGUUAUUUAAUUGAAAGGAUGCAUAGAAAGUUUCUUUAAACCAAUACUAGUGGUUAAGUCUCAAAAAGAAAUAUUAGUCCAAAUUCAUUACUUCCAAUCAAGCAAAAGCAUGCAGUAUCAAACAGGAAAUGCAUCCUCAGGACCCAUAAGCCAAUUUGUACUCCAUUACUAUCAAUUUCCUAGCUGGUCAAUUUUUUAUUUUUUAUUUUUAUUUUUUUGUGGGUAUCUCUUAGGUAUCGAAAGUCAAACCCUAAGUAAUCAAACAAAUUCAGAUAGUGCUUACCCAAUACAAGAUAUUGGAGAUUAAAUCCAAGAGUAACGGAAUGCAGAAAGUACCUUUUUUGAAGAAAAUGUCAGUGACGUCUUUCGAAGGUAAGGGUCCCAGUAAACAACAGGAUCCACUUUCUGAUUCAGCACAACAUUUCCACAUUUCCAAUCAAGGGAGCUUGAUAAAUACUGGAUGAUGUUAAGACCAAAAUCAGUUUUAAACGAUUUGUCUUCCAAGAUCGUACAACACGCAGGGAAAAUGCCAGUGAGUGGGUGAUCAUAUCUCUUCCUCCAGCGAGGAUAUUAUUAUAUAUACAUAUAUAUGCACACUAUAAAACUACUGAUCAUACAUUCAUCCAUUAAUAAUUUUUAUUUUAAUCGUCUGCACAAAUUAAAGGGAAAUGAUCAGCCUAUCCUCGACCUCAAGCAUGCACCAAUAGCAUUACAAAUAAUUAAACUUUUCUCCAAUCAAAUUUCUUAACUAGCUAAUAGGAAUGAUAAUUAGUAAUAAUAAGAGAUUAAUUAGAAACUUCAAAGAAAUACAACGUGUGCAUAAGAUUUAAUUCCUCAGUUCAUGUUUUUCUAAUAAUUUCAAGAUAACUAGCUUAUUUAUUUAUCAGCACAAGAUGAAGUCAUUUUAACUAUAUGUAUCUACUUUUACAAGCUAGGUAGGAGUACUAGAACUAUUGUUUAUGAAAUUAUAUUUAUAAAUAAAUACUUGUGUAUGCAUGUGAUCAAUAUAUAUAUAUAUAUAUAUAUAUAUAUAUAUGCACACACACAAAUUACAAGAUUGAUUGAUCGGGCUGAUGGAUAUAUCUAUGUAUGCAUGCAUUUAUUCCUUAGUUUUUUUCUUUAAAUUAAAUUGUAAUUCUCAAAAAAGAAAAAGAAUAAUCACAGCAACAGGCAUUUAGUCCUUAGUUUUGGAGGAUCUGUCCUUCUCCUUCCUCUGUCCUCCAAGAAUACGAGAAAUCUGUAAACCUUUAUGCACUAAAUACUUAGUUGAACAACAUUCUUGUUUGAAAUUCUAAAACAAAUGGGAACCACGCCAAGAAUGCAACCGGGGUGAAUAGAAGCAAUCCCAUCACUAUUUCAUAACCAUGAGCAAGUGUCCUAACUGAUCCCCAAAUUCCACCAUGUUGUAUCACUGGCUUACAAGCUUGUAAGAUCUAUAUACAGUUCCACGCAUCCAUAAAAAGAAAAAAGAUUACUUAUUAGAAAAGCCCCAAUGAUAAGCAAGCCUGGUCAAUAUCCCAACACCCAUCACGAUUAAAUUGGCAAGGAUCUUCAUAGCCUAAAUCAAAUUUAAUGAUAAAACUAUAAUAAUUGAAUUCCAAAAAAAAUCAAAUAAAUGUUUAAAAUUUCAAAAAUAAUUAAACAUAAAAUACCAAUCAAGUAGAUCCAAAUUUAACAAGAGCACACCGAGGAUUUUCAAAUUUUACAUGUAUAGGGUUUAAAUUUGAUGACAACACAUCUAGGGUUUUCAAGAUUUAGGUGUCUAGGGUUCGAAUUUGACAAGAACACAUCUAGGUUUCUCAAGUUUUACAUAUCUAGGGUUUGAGUUUGACAAGAACAUUAAAAUUGAAAUGGAACACAACACUAGAAACAUUAUUUACCUGUAUUAUUCAAACGAUUGCAGCAGUGGGUGAGUGAAUGAAACGACCCUCCCCGAACCCCAGGGUAAGUGUAUCUAACCUCAUCCAAACUGGAUUGAUAAUAAUCUAAUUAGUAAGGAUUUUGCCAAAAAAUCGACAGUCUCUUUUAUAUAUAUAACACUCCCAACCUGCAAAUAUAUAAGACAAGCACUCCCAAUAUAAUUCAAUACACAACAAACUCCAACGUUCAACAUCCUCAACCACAACACUGAGCUUUACUCAAGAUAUCUCCAGAAUCUCAAAAGAUAAUAUUAUAACUAAUAUUAAUAUCUCAGUUUAUUCUUAAUCCCAAAAGAAUAAUAUAACAAAAUUAUACAAUCCCAAAAGAACGAGAUAACCAAGAUGUCCUAACAAAAUCAUCUAUAUCUUCUAACACCAUCACGUGGCCAAUACUCAAAAUAUAUUUACAGUCGUUGGGUUGGUCUAAUGUACCUGCAACCUCCUGAUGGGGGGGAGGAAUAUAAUAAAAAUGGAGUGAGUAUAAAACUCAGUGAGAUCAGUGAGUGGAUAGUAGUUUUUAAAAAUCAAUUAUUACUUCAAAAGAAAUAAUCAUAUCAUUUCCAAACACGAUUUCAUCAAACCAUAUGCGAGAAACCAGUAAUAAAUCAUUUAACAUUUAAAUCAAAUUACUAACAAUGAAAAGCAUAUAGAAUACACAAAUCUGAAAAUCAUCACCAAACAAGUACCCAGGGAAAUAACCUCGUCAUAUUCGGACCUCAACGGACGGGCAAUGACGUACUAUCUAGGUACCGUCACGCCCCGGAGCUACACGGAUAGACAGGGAAAUAUCAUCUCAUAUCUCAUCAUAUCUGUGCAUACAUAAUCUAGUUCCCAAGGGAUAAAAGCACCCAAGCACACAGCCCAAAGCCUCUGUGUGUGCUCAGACGGGCCCCAAAGGCCUAUAUCUCAUAUGUAUUAUAUGUAUCUCAAUAUCUGUCUAUAUCUCAUAUUUGUAUAUUUGUAAUCAUCAUACUGCAUGCAUAUGCCCCCAAAAGACAAAAAUGCUCAAACACACGGUCCAAAGCCUCUAUGUGUGUUCAGAUGGGCUCCAAAGGCCUCUCAUCUCAUAUCAUGUGUAUCACUAUAUCUGGAAGGGAAUGGUAUUGUCUAAUGAUUUCAAAAACAAUCAUUAUACUCAUAUUCACAUACCUUUUACCCAUACUUUAAAUCAUAUCACAUUUGAAUCCACUUUUCUUAUCUUUAAAAUACUAUCAUGCUUAUUCAAAGUCGAUACGCAAAAUCAUUAACCAAACAUUUUAAUAAAAUACCAAUGCGUGAAUAAAAUCUAUUUCAAGGGAAUCAUUAAAUCAGAACAUUUAAAAUACUUAUUUCUCAAAUAUGCUUUACUAUUAUAAUUAACUAUGAAAUUAAGUUUUGUAUAUUCCACUCACAGUGACGGUGUUCACGCUCGUUAUCGUCCACGUCCGCGGACCGAUUCUCGCUUGCGAAUCCCCCUAAAUUAUGGAAACGACAUAAUUAUUUUCUGUAAAUCGAAAUUACGACUAAAUUUAUGCAAUAAACUCGAAACGAAAUUCGAUCCAUAAUUUACAACUCUCGUGUCGAUAAAAUUACUAAAAUACCCUUGAGUUCGUAAAUCAUUAACAUACUCUGAAAUCGUAAAUCACCGAAUUACCCUCGGAAUCAUAAUUACACCCAAUCCUCAAUUCUAGGAAUUACUAAAAUAUCCACAGGCUCAAAAAUUACAAAAUUGCCCUUAUAGUGUGAAAUUACCGAAAUGCCCUUCCAGGUCAAUGGUCACCAAAAUUUAGUCAACGCUGGCCGAGAAGGUCAAGUCUGAAAUUUAUGGUCACACUGAGUCCAACGGUGGCAGUGGUGACCUCCCACGCGCGGUGAUGGCUCCGGAUCGAGCUCCCAAAGUUGUAACUCCUUCAACCGAUCAACGGCAAAACGAUGUCCCUGGUGGCAGUGGAUGGUCGUAAAUGGAAGAGGGAGUCUCGGGGAACAAAAUCCAACCGGUGGUGUUACCCAAAAUCGGCGAAAAUCCCAGUGGAGCAAAGUGGAAAAGUCGAGGGUUUUCAAGCUUUGGUCGCCGGCAUUUUGGUUGUUUUUCGGUGACGUGGACGGCAAGGGUAUAAUGGCCGGUCUUCAAGCUUCAAAUUGGUACCAAGCUUGACCGGAACGGUGGCCAGAAAUGGAAGUUACGACCGAGUCAAGGUCGCGGGUUCCAGGUCGGGUUUGAUAGCUUCUCUCUCACUCUCUCACACGUGUGUCUCUGUUUUGCUCUGUUUUCCAACUUCCUCUUUUACUUAUUCUAACUUUUUAACCACCUCAUUUUAUUCCUUUAUUUAAUUCACAUAUGUUACAGUGAAGGUUCUCAGUUAGGGUAUUGAAAUUCAAUAGUGGCAGAACACGCGUUUGAUAGGCACUCCUUGUAGUUCUUGGUGAGGGCCUAAAUCAACGGUGAAAUACAAGAGAAUGUCGGCGGCAGUUCAGUGCCUAUGCAAGGAUUUUGGGCGAAAAGGGCUUUGUGAGCGUAAGAUUGAUGAGAGUGACUAAGCAAGAGACAAGAGUAAAAGUGCCAAUACUCACUGAGAAAAAAAAAUUACGAUGAGUGAUAACUAAAGAGGGUUUCAUUUUUAUUUAGUUUUAAUCUAAACGGUGUCGUUCCUUGUUUAAAGAGAAAACUUUUAACCCAAAUGGUACUGUUUAUUCUUUAUUUAUCUUUUUCAUUCAUUUUAAAAUUUUCAGUCAACCCUGCAAAAUAAACUCAAAAUAAAAAUAUUGUUUGACGACCAAAAUUAUAUCACAAACUUGUCAUUGUUUUUUGAUAGCCAAAUAAUUUAUCACUAGUCUAUCAUAAGUGCUUGAUAGAUGAAAUUUAUAUCACAAGUAUGUCAUAAACGCAUGACAAAAAAAAAAUAUCAUCGAUCUAUCGUUGUAACUCUCAACACCAAAAACUGUCACAUAAAGGACUGUCAUAAUAGGUCCUUUUUCUUGUAGUGAUCAAACAAUACAAAAAUUUAUGAAAAAAACUCUUGUACCAGAGAAAAUCAUGCAACUAAGGACAAUGAGGGAAAAAUUUACUACAUGGAAAAUUAUUGCAAUUACUUGAGUAUUUUCCUCAAACCCCAAAUCCUAAUAACACUCAUUCUCUCAAUAGUCUUAUUGUUUCUCUUACAUUAGAAAUUGUCUACUUGCUUAUUUUUAUAUGACCAAGCAAACCAAACAUCCUCAUAUACAGUGAUUAUUUCUUAUAGGAGAAGUUUUUAUUUCCUUAUAUAAAUUAUAUUCCUCUUUGAAUAAGUUAUGUCCCAAAUGAGGAAUUUCUUAUUCCUCAAAUAUGAAUUCUCCAAAAUAAGAAAAUAGCCUUGAAAACCCUUAUACUGGAAAAAGGAGACAUAUUUCCUAACAAUCUCCACCUUAACAAGUUUUUUGAUUAAGUGAAAAAAAAAAUAUAUAAUCCACCGUGUAUCCACACAAGCAUGUUGUCUGCAUCUUCUUUCCUCCACCAAAAUCACAUUCAUAUAGGGCUUAUGAGAAUCACUCUAUCAUGGGUAAAAUCUUGUCACGACUAUAAUUCUCCACAUUGAAAAUCAUCAUACUCCACUUUAUAUAGAGUACACAUAUUCAGCACAUCUCGGUCACCUUGCUGAAAAUCCUACUCUCAUGUUUGGCUUCCUUAAGAGUCAUCAACCAUUAACAUAAAAAUUCUACCAUACACCUUGUAUAAAUGUCAAACUAUGUCUUGCGUGUAAAUUUAUGGACCUGCUAGCAGUAACACAUUCUCUUUCAUGACACGCCAAAAAGGAUAAAUUAGUCUCUCGUGAAGAAAAGAGACACACCACUAGAUGAGAUUACUAGUAUUUCCAUCUACUAAUUUAAAUCUACUUGCCAAACCUGCCUCAUUCCAACAAUCUUUAUUAAGAUGCCUUGAUUGUCUACACACCUCUAGGAGUUUCCAUCAGUGGGAACAUGGUUUACAUCGUCUUUACUUUCAUUGUUUAACAUAGAUUGGAUAAACAUAUAUCUUUGACUUCAAUCUGUCCCAAGCCAAAACUUUUUCUCCCAUUAAACUUUCUAUUUUACCUUCACAAGUUUUGAAACCCUCUUUGCUGAUAUAUUUGCUCUGCAUUGCAACCUUAACUUUAAUACCACUUGUUACAAAAUUUUAAUUCGAUCCAAGAUCUUGCAAGUAAAAAUAUCAAACAAAUAAUAAAUAGAAAAUACAGAUGAAGAAUAAAACUAAUUAUACAACAUAAGAAUUUUAAAUGGAAACUCUAAUACAGGAGAAAAACUAUACUGUAAAAAAAAAAGACAUAAAAUUUUAUUAUGUGAAAAAUUAUUUCAACUACUCUGGCAUUUUUCUCACAGCCAAAACUCCAAUAACACUAAAUCUCUCAAUAGACAUAUUGUUUCUCUCACAUUCAAAAUUGUUCACUUGCUAAUUUUUAUAUAACAAGUGAACCCAACCUCCUUAUAUAUAAUGAUUAUUUAUUUCUUGUAGGAAAAAUGUUCAUUUUCCUUGUACAAGUUGUAUUCCUCUUUAAAUAAGUUAAGUCUUAAAGGGAAAGUUACUUAUUCCUUAAAUUGGAGUCCUCCAAAAUAAGAAAAUAAUAUAGAUAAGAAAUUCUUAUUAAAAAAAGAAAACAUAUUACUUAACACCUAUGCAGUGGUAAAGAAUCAACCGCAACACUAUUUUUGUUUACCUUAUAUCUACCAUCAAAGCUUCGGUAGGAUUAAAUAUAAAGGUAAAUUUUUCUGCACACGCAUUAAAAUCGACAUAAACAAUUUACUACUCUUCCCCAAGAAUUAUGAGAAUAGGCUAUGAACAAUCUUUUAGAAUUUCUAAGUAUUGACAGCUCUGACUCAAUAAAAUUACAAUUAUACUCCCUAACCGGAAUAAUUAUGAAAAAAUGACAUAAAUGCCCAAACCUUUAUUUUAAUUUCAUUUCUCACCCAUUAUCUUUCUCUCUCCUCUCUCUAAAUAAUGCUCUCCAGUUAAAAAAUUAUGGAUGUUUCAUUCUAAUGGAUUAUAUUUUCACAAUUUAUUUUUCUUUCCCAUUUUCCUUUUCAUGUCCUUUGAAUCAGUUAGUUACGACGGACUAACAAAUUAAAGAAGCAUUGGACUGGGAUUAGGCUUUGAACGUCGAGUGGUCAUAACUUGAAGGCAUGUAAUCAGAAAUGUAAAAUGAAUGCUUUUAAGCUCGAAAUUCAGUACAGUUUUUGACUAUUGGCACACCUCUAACUUUCUCGUCAAACCCCUUUUCUAUAGAUAUCCUUUUUAAUUCUUAAAAUAACCUCAUUUGCUAUACUUUCUUAAUAAACCACUGCAUAGGACGAAAAAACAAAAACUUCUAUCAAUGAGCUCUCUCUCUCCCCUCUCCCAUUUCAAGCACUUACAAUUUCUUAUUGACUAUAGCAUUCAUGAAUUUCUGAUUUUAAUCUCUAUCUAUCUUUAUUUUUCUUAGUAGGUAAUAACUUGAUUAUGUAUACAAAGACAAGUAUAUGCAUAUCUGAAAGAAAAACUUGGCGUAAGUAAAUAAAUUUCACCGAAUAAUCUUUCCUAAAAUAACUUAGUUUAUAUUUAGAUCAAAUUCUUAUCUUAUGAGAAUUCAUUGUUUUCUCAAAUUUUGUAGAUUUUAAAGUGUUUUAGAAUGGAGAAAAAAACUAAGAAAACAACAUAGGUUAGUUUAAUCAGAUAAGUUUUAUUUUUAAUAUAAUUUAAAAUAUAAAGAAUAAAUUUAUAAAUAUAAAAUAAGUGGAAUUUCAUAAGAGAUAUAGAGGAGUGCGAAUAGCGCCACUCUUUUAUUUAACUCAUUAACAAUAACAAAGGCAGCAGUUUUUCUUUUUUUUUAAUCUUUUUUCCCCCAGAAACGACACUUUUCAUUGAUUGGAAAGCAAAGAACAAACGAAAGCUGCUUUUCUUCCAGCCAAACAAUCUCAAUUUAAACUAUUAAUUGGAAGUUUUAACUAAGGCACCAAAUUAAAAUAAAUAAAUAAAAUUACUUAAGGCACAAUCCUGUGACUUUUUAGCCUACCAAUCCAAGUGACGAAGGAAUUCUUAGAAUUCCUGAAACCCAAGAACCCGUGCUCCUUACUCUUGUUCAUGCUAACUAAAUAACCCGCACCAAUAUUCAACCCCAUAUCUGCAUAUGACCAAACAGCAACCUCAUUCAAUUUCGUUGGCUGAAGCUGAUUCUCUCUCACAAUCUCCUCCCACACACUUUCUUUACCUUUCAUAAAUUCCCCCAAUCUCAUCCUCUCACUAUCCUUUUCAUCUCCAAACCCAUAAUUCUCAAUCUCAAACUGCUCAGCCAACGCUUUCCAUAAAUGCUUCCACUUAAAAACAUCUCCAUUGGUACAAUUGAAAGCUUCGUUUCUUGCAUUAGCAUCAACUGCCGCCCAAAUUUGCUGCUCCGCAAUCAAAUCUGCAUCCGAAUAUUCUGAGAAGCCUUCCCAAGUUUCUUUCGUCCCAGGAAAUAGUAAAGGAAUGCCUUCAUGUUUACAGAUAGCAGCGUACAUGCAGAGAGUGGCUAUAAUAUUCAUCAAACUAUAAGGUGAAAACCCAAAUAUUCCGAAAGGUCGAUGUAUGGACCAAGUCAGGCCCUCUCUUUUCUCAACUUCUUCAAACAAUAUGUCUUCUUGAUUAUAGUAAAAAAGUGGUAUGUUUAACCUUGGCAAAUCCUCAGUAAAAGGCGGAUCGUACGGUAUCUUGCCGAUACAGUCGAAUGGUCCCAGGUAAUGUUUGCCUCCCGUUUGGAGACAGAUGUGGCGGAGAUUAGGCGCGUUCGGGAUUAUAGAACGGAGCACGUU